rnacentral:rRNA from 1 species
UACGUAGGGGGCGAGCGUUGUCCGGAUUCAUUGGGCGUAAAGCGCGCGUAGGCGGCUCGACAAGUCGGCCGUGAAAUCUCCAGGCUCAACUUGGAGGGGUCGGGCGAGACUGUCGGGCUCGAGGUGGGCAGAGGGCAGUGGAAUUCCGGGUGUAGUGGUGGAAUGCGUAGAGAUCCGGAGGAACACCAGUGGCGAAGGCGGCUGCCUGGGCCUGGCCUGACGCUGAGGCGCGAAAGCGUGGGGAGCGAGUCCGG